UGACCUCAAAUCAGGUAGGACUACCCGCUGAACUUAAGCAUAUCAAUAAGCGGAGGAAAAGAAACUAACAAGGAUUCCCCUAGUAACUGCGAGUGAAGCGGGAAGAGCUCAAAUUUUGAAUCUGGCGGUCUUUGGCCGUCCGAGUUGUAAUCUAGAGAAGCGUUUUCCGCGUUGGCCCGUGUACAAGUCUCCUGGAAAGGAGCGUCAUAGAGGGUGAGAAUCCCGUCUUUGACACGGACUACCAGUGCUAUGUGAUGCGCUCUCGACGAGUCGAGUUGUUUGGGAAUGCAGCUCAAAAUGGGUGGUAAAUUCCAUCUAAAGCUAAAUACAGGCGAGAGACCGAUAGCGAACAAGUACCGUGAGGGAAAGAUGAAAAGAACUUUGGAAAGAGAGUUAAACCGUACGUGAAAUUGCUGAAAGGGAAACGCUUGAUGUCAGUCGCGUCUGCCGGGGAUCAACCUUGCUUCUCGCUGGGUGUAUUUCCUGGUCGACGGGUCAGCAUCAGUUUCGGUCGCCGUACAAGGGCGAGGGGAACGUGGCACUCUCCGGAGUGUGUUAUAGCCUUUCGUCGUAUGCGGUGGUCGGGACUGAGGAACUCAGCACGGCUUCGGUCUGUGCUAGGAUG
rnacentral:rRNA from 1 species